CGCGUAGGCGGCCUAUUAAGUCAGUUGUGAAAGCUCCCAGCUCAACUGGGAGAGGUCAAUUGAUACUGGUGGGCUUGAGGUCAGCAGAGGGAGGUGGAAUUCCCGGUGUAGCGGUGAAAUGCGUAGAGAUCGGGAGGAACACCAGUGGCGAAGGCGGCCUCCUGGGCUGUUUCUGACGCUGAGGCGCGAAAGCGUGGGGAGCAAACAGGAUUAGAUACCCUGGUAGUCC
rnacentral:rRNA from 1 species